AAGUGAAAUGAAAUUAUAUUGCGUCGUACUUGUUUCUUUUCAUUUUCAACCCCGCCAAAAAAAGCAUUUCAACCACGCCAAAAAUAGCAUUUCAACCACACAAAGCAUUCAACGGCUCCGAAAAAGUAGGAUUCACAGAGAACAAUGCCGCUCUUCCACACAACCCCAUUUCCCAGUCCUCGCACCGAGCCUGAAUCCGCAGCAGCACAACAACCCCCUUUCACGAAUCAAAACCCAAAAACUCAAAUCUCUCACGCCCUAGCCGUACGAUUCACCGGAAUUUUUCCUGCCUCCGUCGUCUCUGGCAUUACGGCGGAAUUCAAAUUUCUAGGGUUAGAACAUUUUGACGAGAAGGAAGGUGCCUCGUUGUGUGGAUUAAUGGAAAUUGCGUUCGAGAUUGGGGAUCAACAAUCGGGUCUGGUGAAUCCAAAAUAAGAGGCUUUUUUUUUCUUCCUCCUUGAUCAGAUGGAGUCGAGGCCUUCUAUUUGUUGAACCGAGAUGGGCAACCCAGUCAAUAUCAUUGCAGGUUCUCAUGUUUGGGUUGAAGACCCAGACAUUGCUUGGAUUGAUGGGCAAGUGAUUAAUGUUAAAGGAGACGAAGUUGAGGUUCAAAUAUCCGAUGAGAAGACGGUUGUUGCUAAUAUAUCCAAAGUAUACCCUAAAGACGAGGAUACACCUGAUGGCGGAGUUGAUGACAUGACCAAACUAUCCUAUCUGCAUGAACCCGGAGUUCUGCAUAACUUGGCAAGAAGAUACCAGCUCAAUAAGAUCUAUACUUACAGUGGGGGAAUUCUUAUUGCAAUCAAUCCAUUUCAAAGACUUCCAGACUUGUAUGAUGCCCAUAUGAUGGAACAAUACAAAGGAGCACCACUUGGAAAAUUGAAUCCUCAUGUUUUUGCCAUUGCAGACGUUGCUUUCAGGGCGAUGAGGUAUGAGGGUAAAAGUAACUCAAUAUUGGUAAGCGGAGAAAGUGGUGCUGGUAAGACUGAAACUACUAAGAUGCUUAUGCAAUAUCUUGCCUAUUUGGGUGGUCGUAACGGAGCUGAAGGGAGAACAGUUGAACAACAAGUUCUUGAGUCAAAUCCAGUUCUUGAAGCAUUUGGGAAUGCAAAAACUGUCAGAAAUAACAAUUCAAGCCGAUUUGGUAAAUUUGUUGAACUUCAGUUUGACAAGCAUGGAAGAAUAUCAGGAGCAGCUAUUAGAACAUAUCUUCUGGAAAGAUCUCGUGUCUGCCAAAUAUCAGAUCCCGAACGCAAUUAUCACUGUUUUUACCUUCUAUGUGCAGCGCCACAAGAGGAAAUUGAGAAGUAUAAACUGGGACAUCCAAAUACAUUUCACUAUCUUAAUCAAUCUAAUUGCUACGAGCUAGUUGGUGUAAGUGAUGCUCACGAUUAUUUGGCAACAAGGAAGGCGAUGGAUGUUGUUGGAAUCAGUCAAAAUGAGCAGGAUGCAAUCUUCAGAGUAGUUGCAGCUAUUCUCCACCUAGGUAAUGUUACAUUUACUAAAGGGGAGGAUAUUGAUUCCUCAGUUCUCGAGAAUGAUGUAUCAAAGUUCCAUCUUCAGACUGCAGCCGAGCUUCUCAUGUGUGAUCCUAAUGCACUGGAAGAUGCAUUAUUGAGGCGUGUGAUGGUCACUCCAGAAGAAGUUAUCAAAAGAAGUCUUGAUCCUGAUGGUGCACUAGUAAGCAGGGAUGGGUUAGCUAAGACGAUAUAUUCACGCUUGUUUGACUGGUUGGUAGACAAAAUAAAUUUCACCAUAGGGCAAGAUCCAAACUCAAAAAGUCUAAUUGGAGUUCUUGAUAUAUACGGUUUUGAAAGUUUUAAAACUAACAGUUUUGAACAGUUCUGCAUUAAUUUUACUAAUGAAAAGCUGCAGCAACAUUUUAAUCAGCAUGUUUUCAAGACGGAGCAGGAAGAAUAUAUAAAAGAGGAGAUUGACUGGAGCUACAUAGAAUUUGUUGAUAACCAAGAUGUCCUGGAUCUUAUUGAAAAGAAACCUGGAGGAAUCAUUGCUCUUCUUGAUGAGGCCUGUAUGUUCCCCAAGUCAACACAUGAGACAUUUUCAGAAAAGCUUUAUCAAACAUUUAAAAACCACAAGCGUUUCAUUAAACCAAAAUUGGCACGUACCGACUUUACAAUAUCUCAUUAUGCUGGAGAGGUUCAAUACCAAUCCGAUCAGUUUUUGGAUAAAAACAAAGAUUACGUUGUUGCCGAACAUCAAGACCUAUUAACUGCUUCCCAAUGCCCAUUUGUAGCAGCACUCUUUCCUCCACUCCCAGAAGAGACAACAAAAUCUUCAAAUAAAUCUUCCAAGUUCUCAUCGAUAGGUUCUCGCUUCAAGCAACAACUACAACAAUUGAUGGAGACGCUGAAUUCUACAGAACCCCACUACAUUAGAUGCGUGAAACCUAAUAAUCAUUUCCAGCCUACUAUUUUUGAAAAUGCCAGUAUCAUGCAGCAACUUCGUUGUGGUGGUGUAUUAGAGGCAAUUAGAAUUAGCUGUUCCGGCUACCCUACUCAUAAGACAUUUUCUGAAUUUCUUCAUCGGUUUGGACUUCUUGCUCCAGAAAUCUUGGAAGAAAAUAAUGACGAAAUGGUUGCAUGCAAAAAGAUUGUGGACAAGCUCGGCCUUGCUGGGGCUCAGAUAGGAAAAACGAAGCUCUUCCUGAGAUCUGGUCAGAUGGCAGAUUUAGAUUCCCAAAGAGCAGUAAAACUUAGUGGUGCAGCAAAGACGAUACAAGCAAAAUUUAGAAGUCAUAAUGAUCUGAAGCACUUUGUUGCAGUGUAUAGGGCAUCAGUUUGUAUUCAAUCUAUAGCCAGAGGAGUGCUUGCUUCCAGAUUUUACAAUUAUUUGAAAAGGGAGUCGGCGUCUCUUAAAAUCCAGACAAAUGUGAGAGGGCACAUAAGCAGAAAAAGCUACAGUAGACUCAAAUACUCGGUUAUUGUACUGCAAUCAGGCAUGAGAGCAAUGGCUGCUCACAAUAAGUAUAAAUAUAGGAAACGAAGCAAGUCAGCAACUGUUAUACAGGCCCACUGGCGUGGUCAUAUGGCCUUUUCACACUACAAGAAAAUUAGAAAUGCAACAAUUGUGAUCCAGUGUGGAUGGAGGGGAAUGAUUGCUAGGAGAGAGCUUCGGAAACUGAAAAUGGCUGCACGAGAAACGGGUGCACUUCAAGAAGCUAAGGAUAAGCUUGAAAAGCGAGUGGAAGACCUGACGUUACGGCUAAAGCAAGAAAGGCGUCUGAGGGCUGACAUGGAAGAGGCGAAGUGCCAAGAAAUAACGAAGUUGAAGCAGUUCGUGAAAACGUUGCAGAACAUGGUUGGUGAAACAAAUGGUCCACUUCAUGAAGAAUGUGAGGGGUAUUGGACAGCAUCGGAAGAAGAAUCCUCAAUCACUAAAGAAACCCCGGCUCCAUUUGAAGAUACAAAGAAGAUUGAGGCUCUAACUUCACAAGUGGAAAAAUUGAAGGACUUGUUAGAAUUUGAAAGAAAACGAUCUGAUGAUUUCCAAAGGAAGUACGUUGAAUCUCUGGAAUCAGAAGAGGCAAAGCGUCAGAAGUUAGAAGAAACUGAGAGAAGAGUUCAUCAACUUCAGGAAUCCUUGAACAGUGUGCUUCAGGAUGAUAUACAGCAUGUCUGGGCAAUUUUCGGAGCUCAAAAUGAUUUUAUGUGCCUCAUCCAACUCAACUUCAGCUUCGGGAUUCGUUGCUAAACAUGACAUGGACGAUGAUUCUUCCGCCUCGUCUGAUACCACUUCAACUGACUCAGAUUUCACUUUCCCAGCUCCCGCUUCCACUCCACCAAACUUUACUUCCUGCAAUUCUGGCGCUUUUCAGCUCAUUGUUCGAGAUCUUUCAACACCUGAAACUUCAGGAACGGAGAAGUGGGAAAAUGACAAGGAGGGGGCGUUUGAUGACUUUUUCUGAUGGAAGUUGCUCUAUCAGUUUGUUGUUGUCUAAAUCUCUACUAUAUAGUUAGAAGUUAGGUUGUCUAGAUUUUAACAAUUCAGUGUCACGGUAAGUGGUUAGCUCAGUUUUAACAUAGAAUAUCACCCAUUUUUUUGUACAGGAACAUGUAUAUAGAAACUGUUGAGACAACAUUACAAAUUUCUUCUUAUAUAUAACACAUAAACAUGGUAGUGCUGCUUAUAUUAAAUAUCAUA